rnacentral:rRNA from 1 species
UAGGGGUGAAAGGCCUGGCAAAAUACUUGAUAACUUGAUUGAAAAGAAAUAUUUCAAGAAUAAUAGACAAUUAAUUAAUGAUAAGGUUAAUUAAUGGAACAAAUGUUGUUUAUAACUUUUCUAACAUUGUUUAAUUACUUGUGGAAACGUUAGUUAAACAUAUAAAAUAUAUAUAUUGUUAUAUUUAUUUUCAAAGUUUAAUGAAUUUUUAAUAAAUUUUAGUAUGUUACUAUUAGUAGCUUUUUUUAAUUUUGACGAAGGAACUCGGCAAAUGAUUUGGUCAACUGUUUAACAAAAACAUAGCUAUAUGUAUUAUAUAUAUAUGGUGAUUUCUGCUCAAUGAGUAGUGUUAAAUAGCCGCAGUACCCUGACUGUGCAAAGGUAGCAUAAUCAUUUGGCUCAUAAUUGGAGUCUGGUAUGAAUGAAUUUAUGGCUAGAAACUGUCUCCUUUAAAGUUUAUUGAACUUACUAAGUGAGUGCAAAUACUCAUAUUUGAACAAAAGACGAGAAGACCCUAGAAAUUUUUAUUAAUUUCUAUAAAAAAAAAGAAAGCGUUUUUGUUGGGGCGACAUAAUAACAUAUAACUUAUUAUUAACAUAAGAACCUUUUAUUGAGUAAAUUAAAAUUACUCUAGGGAUAACAGCAUAAUUUACAAAAGUUUGUGACCUCGAUGUUGGAUUAGGGACUGUAUUAUUCAGAAGAAAAUAUAAUUUGUUCUGUUCGAAC